rnacentral:antisense_RNA from 1 species
CUCAAGUUGAAGGGCAUCAGCCACAGCAGAACAGUUCCCCACGGCUGAUGGGCACUCACAGGCAGGCAGGAGGCAGCGGUUCCGCACGACCUCCCAGCCCCCUCUGUGCCCAUUUUACAUCUGAGGCUGGCAGACGAGAAGGGCCACGGGAUUUUGAGCCCCAGCCUGAGGCCGGGAGGAGGGAGCUGGGGCAAACAGAAAGCCCAAAGGCAGGUCCGAUUUUGAAGAGUCAAUUUCCUUUGAAGAGGCAUCACCCACCCGGAGGUGGCAUCACCUGCCCAGGAGGUAUCACCUGUGCCUAGAGAAGGCAUCACCUGCCCAGAGGAGGCAUCACCUGCCCAGGAGGCAUCACCACCUGCCCAGAGCAGGCAUCACCCACCUAGAGGAGGUAUCUGUGCCUAGAGGAGGCAUCACCCGCCUAGAGGAGGUAUCACCACCCAGAGAAGGCAUCACCCACCUAGAGGAGGUAUCACCACCCAGAGGAGGCAUCACCCACCCAGGAGGUGGCAUCACCCGUGCCCAGAGGAGGCAUCACCGCCAGCCCAGGAGGCAUCACGCACCCAGAGGAGGCAUCACCCGCCCAGGAAGUGGCAUCACCUGUGCCCAGAGGAGGCAUCACCCACCAAGAGGAGGCACCACUACCAGCCCAAGAGGCAUCACCACCCACCUAGGAGGCAUCACCCCCCCUAGAGGAGGCAUCACCUGUGCCCAGGAGGCAUCACCCGCCCAAAGAAGGCGCCCCAAGUUGGCAGGGUGGUGGGGGCUGGGCCUCUCAGUAAAUGGUCCAGAGCUCCCCCUGGCAGAUCAACUGUUUCUUGGGGACUUUAAGAAGAAUUGGGGUACUGGGACUCCCACUUAGUAACCCAGGAGCCUGAGGUGGCCCACGGAGGAGUGCCCAAGCCCCCAGCAGCCAGACCAGCUCCA